UGAGGAUGUAGCUCAGUGUUAAAGCAUUUGUCUAGCAUGUUCAGGGCCCUGGGUUCAAUCCCCAGCACCACAA
rnacentral:tRNA from 1 species